rnacentral:lncRNA from 1 species
UUCCAUCCAUACUGCUGGACCCUUCAGAAGAUCCAGGUUGUGGCUUAAAGUGGUCCUCUGUUGAGACAGGCUGUGGACUAUGCAUGUGGGAGCCAAAACCAUUGUCUUCCGAGCUCCUGAAGCAGCCUCUUUAGACUGACCCAUCUUGGUCGCUUUCCCGAACCCCAAGCCGUCUUGUGGGGCACCCUGUGUGGCAACCCCAAACUCGACACUACCCAGGAACUUUCCCUACUGAAGAGAGGUGGCCACACCAGCUGGGGAAAUCUUCGUGUGAGGGAGAAUGGAACAGUGUUGGUACCUGGAUCUCUACAGAACUGUUGUUCUCUACCGAACUUCAAAAGAUGUUCCCAUCAGCACAACCUGAACAAAUGGAGCCCAGGCUCUCUCUCCCUUGGAUUUCUUAAAAAGACAUAUCUGAAUCUAUGUUUAUUUUGCAAAACCUUUAAUGAAAAAGUCACAUUUGCCCCUAAAUAUGGUUUCCAAAUCUCUGAAAGCUGACAGAGCAGUGGAGGAGACUCCAUCUGAUAAACUGCAGAAGUGUGGCGGCGUCUUGAUCGCUUUAACUGUGGAGAACCUGUUCCAGAUGCUUGCGCCAACAGCAUAAAAAUCGAUUCCGGCAGACUCUCCUCGGCUGAAAGACGGUGCCCCGUGGAGGUCCUGAGACAGACAAAUGUGGAGAUCUAAGCUCUUGGGGCUGUGCUGGGGAGAACACGUCAUUUCUUCCUGAUUAUAAACAAGCACUGUUUAUGGAAUGUUGGAAAAGAGAAUAAAG